GACGAACGCUGGCGGCGUGCUUAACACAUGCAAGUCGAACGGAAAGGCCCUGCGUUUGUGGGGUUCUCGAGUGGCGAACGGGUGAGUAACACGUGAGUAACCUGCCCUUGACUUUGGGAGAACUUCAGGAAACUGGGGCUAAUACCGGAGAGGAGCUCCUGCUGCAUGGGGGGGGUUGGAGAGUGUCGGCGGUGGUGGAUGUACUAGCGGCUUAUCAGCUUGUUGGGGGGGUAGUGGAGUACAAAGGCUUUGACGGGUAGCCGGCCUGGGAGCGUGGCCGGCCACCUUGCUCCUGCGAUACGGCGCAGUCUCCUACCGGAGGCAGCGGUCGGGAGCCUUGCACAAUGGGCGGAAGCCUGUUGCGGAGGCGCCCCGUGCGGGAUGCCGGCCUUCGGGUUGUAAACCGCUUUCGCCUGUGCCGAGGCGUGAGUGACGGUAAUGGGUCAAGAAGCACCGGCUAACUACGUG
rnacentral:rRNA from 1 species